GGAGCUGUGGCGUAGAGGGCAAAGCUGCAGCCUGCAGUGCUGGCAUCCCAUAUAAGCACUGGUUUGAGUCCUGGCUGCUCCA
rnacentral:tRNA from 1 species